AUUGAACGCUGGCGGCAUGCCUAACACAUGCAAGUCGAGCGAGCGGCGGACGGGUGAGUAAUGUAUGGGGAUCUGCCCGAUAUAGGGGGAUAACUACGGGAAACGGUGGCUAAUACCGCACAGUAUCGGAUGAACCCAUUUGGGAUUAGCUAGUUGGUGGGGUAAAGGCUCACCAAGGCGACGAUCUCUAGCUGGUCUGAGAGGAUGAUCAGCCACACGGGGACUUGGACACGGCCCAGACUCCUACGGGAGGCAGCGGUGGGGAAUAGUGGACAAUGGGAGCAAGCCUGAUCCAGCCAUGCCGCGUGUAUGAAGAAGGCCUUAGGGUUGUAAAGUACUUUCGGCGGGAAGGCGGUACCCGCAGAAGAAGCACCGGCUAACUCCGUGCCAGCAGCCGCGGUAAUUC
rnacentral:rRNA from 1 species